rnacentral:rRNA from 1 species
CGGCGAGUGAAGCGGGAUGAGCUCAAAUUUAAAAUCUGGCCGGUUUACUGGUCCGAAUUGUAGUUUAAAGAAGCGUUUUCGGUGGCAGCCUGGGUAUAAAUCCUUUGGAAUAGGGUAUCAUAGAGGGUGAGAAUCCCGUCUUUGACUCAGUGCAUGCUACUAUGUGAUACGUUUUCAAAGAGUCGAGUUGUUUGGGAAUGCAGCUCAAAAUGGGUGGUAAAUCUCAUCUAAGGCUAAAUAUUGGCGAGAGACCGAUAGCGAACAAGUACCGUGAGGGAAAGAUGAAAAGAACUUUGAAAAGAGAGUUAAACAGUGCGUGAAAUUGUUGAAAGGGAAACGUUUGACACCAGUCAUGCGGGCGGAAAAUCAGUCUUUUGUAGUGAGGAAGCGCGUGGGUUCAGACCGCAAGGCUGGCCUAUGUGUUCUCCCUGCUGCAAGUGAUGCACUUUUCCGUCUGCGGGCCAACAUCAGUUUCUUCUGCUGGACAAAACUCCAAGAGAAGGUAGCAGCUUAGGCUGUGUUAUAGCUCUGGAGCGAUACAGUGGAGGAGACUGAGGUUUUCGCAGCGUGUGCUCUCGGGCAAGGCGGAUUGGGUGCUAUGAGAUCGUUCGGCGUACAAUGCAUGCAUUUUGCGCCGUGUCCUUUUUAUACUCGCUCAACUCUGCUCU